UGCCAGCCGCCGCGGUAAUACGGAGGGUGCAAACGUUGCUCGGAAUCAUUGGGCGUAAAGCGCACGUAGGCGGCUUGACAAGUUGGGUGUGAAAGCCCGGGGCUCAACCCCGGAAGUGCACCCAAAACUGUUAGGCUUGAGUCCCGGAGGGGCCCAGAGAAUUCCCGGUGUAGAGGUGAAAUUCGUAGAUAUCGGGAGGAAUACCAGUGGCGAAGGCGCUGGGCUGGACGGGUACUGACGCUGAGGUGCGAAAGCGUGGGGAGCAAACAGGAUUAGAUA
rnacentral:rRNA from 1 species